AGAGUUUGAUCCUGGCUCAGGACGAACGCUGGCGGCGUGCCUAACACAUGCAAGUCGAGCGAGGAAUGUCGGAUAGCUUGCUAUUUGAUAUUUCUAGCGGCGGACGGGUGAGUAACGCGUGAGCAACCUGCCUUUAUCAGGGGGAUAACGCAUCGAAAGAUGUGCUAAUACCGCGUAAGACCACAGCCUCACAUGGGGCGGGGGUCAAAGGAGCAAUCCGGAUAAAGAUGGGCUCGCGUCCGAUUAGCUAGUUGGUGAGAUAACAGCCCACCAAGGCGACGAUCGGUAGCCGACCUGAGAGGGUGAUCGGCCACAUUGGAACUGAGAGACGGUCCAGACUCCUACGGGAGGCAGCAGUGGGGAAUAUUGGGCAAUGGGCGAAAGCCUGACCCAGCAACGCCGCGUGAGGGAAGAAGGGUUUCGGCUCGUAAACCUCUGUCCUAUGGGACGAAGGAAGUGACGGUACCAUAGGAGGAAGCCCCGGCUAACUACGUGCCAGCAGCCGCGGUAAUACGUAGGGGGCGAGCGUUGUCCGGAAUGAUUGGGCGUAAAGGGCGCGUAGGCGGCCUGCUAAGUCUGAAGUGAAAGUCCUGCUUUCAAGGUGGGAAGUGCUUUGGAUACUGGUGGGCUGGAGUGCAGGAGAGGAAAGCGGAAUUACCGGUGUAGCGGUGAAAUGCGUAGAGAUCGGUAGGAACACCAGUGGCGAAGGCGGCUUUCUGGACUGAAACUGACGCUGAGGCGCGAAAGCGUGGGGAGCAAACAGGAUUAGAUACCCUGGUAGUCCACGCGGUAAACGAUGAAUGCUAGGUGUAGGAGGUAUCGACCCCUUCUGUGCCGCAGUAAACACAAUAAGCAUUCCGCCUGGGGAGUACGGCCGCAAGGUUGAAACUCAAAGGAAUUGACGGGGGCCCGCACAAGCAGCGGAGCAUGUGGUUUAAUUCGAAGCAACGCGAAGAACCUUACCAGGUCUUGACAUCCGUGUAAAGCCGCAGAGAUGCGGUGUGAGCUUGCUCAAUACGAGACAGGUGGUGCAUGGUUGUCGUCAGCUCGUGUCGUGAGAUGUUGGGUUAAGUCCCGCAACGAGCGCAACCCUUAUUGUCAGUAGCCAGCAGGUGAAGCUGGGCACUCUGAUGAGACUGCCGGGGAUAACCCGGAGGAAGGUGGGGAUGACGUCAAAUCAUCAUGCCCCUUAUGAGCAGGGCUACACACGUGCUACAAUGGCGUAAACAGAGGGAAGCGAAGGAGUGAUCUGGAGCAAAUCUCAAAAAUAACGUCUCAGUUCGGAUUGUAGUCUGCAACUCGACUACAUGAAGCUGGAAUCGCUAGUAAUCGCAGAUCAGAAUGCUGCGGUGAAUACGUUCCCGGGUCUUGUACACACCGCCCGUCACACCAUGGGAGUCGGUAAUGCCCGAAGUCAGUGACUCAACCGAAAGGAGAGAGCUGCCGAAGGCAGGACUGGUAACUGGGGUGAAGUCGUAACAAGGUA
rnacentral:rRNA from 1 species